rnacentral:misc_RNA from 1 species
CUGGAUUCUUUUUCUGCGCCGCAGAAGCCAUUCUUUCACUUCCCGUGCACUCGCUUCUCUAGCAUACACAGCUUGUGAGGUAAGCUGUACUUUUUCGCUACACAAAGACGAAUACAUCGAUAUUUGGAAAAAAAAGAAAGCAGCAUCAUAACUGAAAAUGUCUGAGGCAUUUUAUGGUCUGACGACGUUUAGCCCUUCAGGAAAGCUGGUCCAGAUUGAGUAUGCGACGACAGCUGCCGGCAAAGGGACGACUGCGCUGGGGGUGAAGGCCACCGAUGGGGUCGUCAUUGCUGCAAAGAAGAAGGCUCCAUCUACCCUAGUGGAUGCCUCAUCGAUCCAGAAGGUCUUCGUCUUGGAUGAGCACGUUGGCUGCACCUACAGCGGCAUGGGCCCGGACUGCCGUGUUCUUAUCGACUCAGCUCGGAAGAAUUGCCAGCAGUACAGGCUGAUGUACAACGAGAGCAUUCCGAUCAGCCAGCUGGUGCGGAAGAUUAGCGCUCUCUAUCAGGAAUUUACACAGUCUGGCGGUGUUCGUCCCUUCGGAUGCUCUCUCCUGGUCGCUGGGGUGGACGCUAACGGCUACCAUUUGUAUCAGGUGGACCCUAGCGGCACGUUCUGGGCGUGGAAGGCGACGGCGAUUGGCACCGGAAGUCCGGACGCGAAGGCAUUUCUAGAAAAGCGUUACACUGUGGACAUGGAGCUGGAGGAUGCUGUACACACCGCAUUGUUGACGCUAAAGGAGGGCUUUGAUGGCCAGAUGACGUCAGAAAACACUGAGGUCGGUCGUGUUGUAGGAAACCGUUUCGAAGUCCUGAGCGUCGAUCAGCUGCGCGAUUACCUGGACCAGAUUUAGUGUGGUCAUGCAUAUAGUGCUGCGUAGCGGAAAGUAUAUAGACUUCGGCGGCGUGCAACAAAGAGCUGUGCUGUGGAAAAUGUCUUCUAUUUCAGGUAUUGUUUCUCGUC